UACAGAGGUGGCAAGCGUUGUUCGGAAUUACUGGGCGUAAAGGGCGAGUAGACGGCCUUCUAAGUCAGACGUGAAAUCCCCCGGCUUAACCUGGGAACUGCGUCUGAUACUGGGAGGCUCGAGUAUGGGAGAGGGAUGUAGAAUUCCAGGUGUAGCGGUGAAAUGCGUAGAUAUCUGGAGGAAUACCGGUGGCGAAGGCGGCAUCCUGGACCGACAUUGACGCUGAUGAGCGAAAGCUAGGGGAGCAAACGGG
rnacentral:rRNA from 1 species